UACGAAGGGGGCUAGCGUUGUUCGGAAUUACUGGGCGUAAAGGGCGCGCAGGCGGCCUAUCAAGUCAGCUGUGAAAACUCGAGGCUCAACCUCGAGACGUCGGUUGAAACCACCUGGCUAGAGUCCGGAAGAGGAGAGUGGAAUUCCCGGUGUAGCGGUGAAAUGCGCAGAUAUCGGGAAGAACACCCGUGGCGAAGGCGGCUCUCUGGGACGGUACUGACGCUGAGACGCGAAAGCGUGGGGAGCGAACAGG
rnacentral:rRNA from 1 species